UAGGACGUCGAUCGAGGUGUCGUUGGAAGGCGCUGAAGAGGUUCUAACCGGACCUUAAAGGGACGGUCUCGUACAGAUCGAGCGAUUCCGAAACUUAGCUGAAAUUAUAUUCAAGAGUGCUACAGAAACACAGUCGCGAAGUUUCAACCAGAACAACGAAGUGGUUUUCGAGAAAUUUGAAGAAAUAUGCCGUGACAGCAGACGACGGAAGUCGCAGCUGGAUUCAACUCCCUCUCAUGCAACGUCACAUGUGACGUGGUUAUGGUAUUUAUGGUGGCAGGUCGCCCAUUGGGCGACCGAAGCACAAUGCUCAAUCACAGUCGGAGGUGUAUGCGCUUUGCGCUUGGAAGUUGUCACGCGCGACGUCGUAAUGUCUGACAGCAAAUUUAGCGAUAGUGACGGGUCCCUGUCACUAAGCGGUGAAGAUGAGCUCAUCGGCGCCGACCGAUUGACUAACGGGGACGUUGAUGUACCUUUAGCUGCUGACCCUUUGCCACAACAACGUGGUUAGCCAGUGGAGUAGUGGAUGAUCCAGAAUCGAUUGACGGGUGUGUGUGUAGCCACUGCUCGCCAAUACCAGGAUGUGUUGUGCGCACAAUCCGGAACCUGUUUCGAUCCGUCACGUACACAUGGUGUUGCAUUCUCCUGGAAGGUGUUGUAAGGUUUGUGUUUGUUGCGCAGCUUUUUAUUUGCAUAUAAAAAUGUGUGUUUCAUGGUACGUUACGCAAAAUUUCGGACUUGGGCAUUUCGUCAUAUGUAUCACAACUUGGAUAGUCUUCUGAAGGAAACUGCUCUCUCUAUCCAUUCCCGCAAGCGGCAGGAGGUUGUCAACGUGAUAAGUGAAGGCUUUCCAUUCAUGUCAUUACACCUGGAGCAAAUGACAAAAUCAAGGAUAAGCUGAUCUACGUCAACGUCUUCAAUUACCCCUGGCCUAUGAAAAAAAAAAAAAAAGCCCUUUUCAGGACCAUCCAACAUAUCUGCAUCAAAGACUAUGCUUCUGCAUCGAAUAAGCCCUUAUCAUCAUUGAUUAUUACAAUAUUUCAUAUCAAAAAUACCUUGACGUGCAUUGCGAAUGUGCAAGAUGGAACAGCCUUAUUUUUGCUAAUGUUAUGGCAGUGUGUUCAUGAGCCCAUACUGGCUCAGAUUUUGAUUGUGUCAGGGGUUGCACGUUGAAUAUAAAAGACUUGGAAAUGUUUAAAAACUUUUUAAAAUAUCAAAAAUACCUAGACGUCCAUGACAAAUUUGUAAGAUGGAACAGCGGUUUGCAACUUGUCGACAUGUCGUCAGUCUUAUUUUUGCUCAGGUUACACCGGUGUGUUCAUGAGCCCAUACUGGCUCAGAUUUUGAUUGUGUCAGGGGUUGCACGUUGAAUAUAAAAGACUUGGAAAUGUUUAAAAACUUUUUAAAAUAUCAAAAAUACCUAGACGUCCAUGACAAAUUUGUAAGAUGGAACAGCGGUUUGCAACUUGUCGACAUGUCGUCAGUCUUAUUUUUGCUCAGGUUACACCGGUGUGUUCAUGAGCCCAUACUGGCUAACAUUUUGAUUCGAUAUCAUGGGUUGCAAACUAACAUGUCCAGCACGUUGAAUAUGAAAGAUGUGGAAAUGUUUAAAAAAUAUGAAAAAUACCUAGAUGUGCAUGACAAAUGUGCUAGAUGGGACAGCGGUUUGCAACAUGUCGACAUGUCGUCAGUCUUAUUUUUGCUCAUGUUACACCGGUGUGUUCAUGAGCCCGUACUGGCUCACAUUUUGAUUCGAUAUCAGGGGUUGCAGACUAACAUGUCCAGCACGUUGAAUAUAAAGGUUGCGGAAGUUGAGUGUUUAUGCAGUCAUCUUUUAUUGUCCCUUAUUGUAAUGUACGUCCACAGCACUGACCAAUUGUGUUAAAAUUGGGUUGUUGGUAUCGGGUAGUCAUAAUGAUGUUCAAGCAGCAAGCUCUGAGCAACCUGUCGUCCUGUCCUGUCAACAAGGUUGUCUUGUCUUUUGCUGCUUGAACAUCAUGUAAUCACAACACUGAUUUGUGGAUAUAACUUACAUAUUUAUAUUAUGCAAUACUUUUCUCACAUCAGCAAUGUGCAGGGAAAAAUUAAAUAGAGUUGUGAAGCCGGCGAAUUUGAGUUGUUAUAUUUGUGACCCAUUAAUAGGUGUUGAUUCUGGCACAGGAAGGAGUGCCACUCUCAUCAGUUAGUGUCAGCUACUGAAGGGGUACAAGACAACAUUAUUGAGCAUAGUUUGGUGAUAUACUGCUCCGGUAGGGAUAAUACCUUAGAGAGGCUUUAUGCAAAACAAACUGAUGUAGCCUGCUGGAUCAAGCACUUCCUUCUCGCAAUACUACCGAGGUAUGCGGGACUGCCGUUUCGUGCGGUGCCGACAAUUUCUGUACACAUCACUUUUGGCUACUAUCAACAAAGUAAUACCUACAUUUCAAUACUGCGCGUAUCCAGUUCUUUGGACACCGUUGCCGAUAGCAGUUGACUCCAUGACGGUCGACCAGACUUGUACGUAUUUAGAGUAUUGUAUUUAGAAUACUGUAUUUUAAAUACAAUUUGCGGUAUUUUGGUACUCUACUCAAUACUUCUUGUUUUGUGUAUUUGUACUCUAUUUAAAAUACAUUUUAUGGUAUUUUCUACUCAAUACUCUAAUUACAUAUUUUGGAUCUUC